CUACGGGUCGCACCAGGCGCGAAACCUUUACAAUGCACGCAAGUGUGAUAAGGGGAUCCUAAGUGCUCAUGCAUUGCAUGGGCUUUUGCCAAGAGUAAAUAUCUUGGCGAAUAAGUGGUGGGUAAGACUGGUGCCAGCCGCCGCGGUAACACCAGCGCCACGAGUGGCAACCGCGUUUAUUGGGCCUAAAGCGUCCGCAGCCGGUUGAAUAAAUCUCUUGUGAAAUCGUCAGGCUUAACUUGACGGCAUGCAUGAGACACUGUUCAACUUGAGACCGGGAGGAGUCAGAGGUAUUCCAGGGGGAGCGGUAAAAUGUGAUAAUCCCUGGAGGAUCACCUAUGGCGAAGGCAUCUGACCAGAACGGAUCUGACGGUCAGGGACGAAGGCUAGGGAAGCGAUCCGGAUUAGAUACCCUUGUAGUC
rnacentral:rRNA from 1 species